ACCUCCUCUCCAAGCCCAGCUCCCCACUGCCCUCUUCCUGCCCUGUCCCUGUCUCCGCUGCCCUUUAGAUCAGGCAGGCAGGCAGGCCUAGAGCAUCCGCCCUGAGACACUGCCUGUUGGCUGCCUUAAGACGCCCCUUCCUUCUCUGCCCGCAGCCUCCCCAGCCUCUGCAUUCCUCUGCUUCCUGUCUGCUCUGCUCAGCCUGCAGGAUUGAUCUUCCCAAAGCCAGGUGUCAACCAGGCCACUAACCCUACCCACUGCUCAGAAAUCUUCCCACAGCCUCAGCCUGGCCCCCUCUUAUCCAUCCCCUCCAUACACACUUGCCUCAGCUCCUCAAAACAGUCCACAGCCAUCCUCCUUCCCCACCUUUGCCCCUUUCUUCCCUUCCUAAGGAAAUAUUGGCCCCCUUCUCUCCACCAGGCUGAACCCACUCAUCCUGCAAAACCAAGUUCAACGCCCUGUCAUUUUCUUUUUUUUUUUUUUUUUUGAGAUGGAGUCUCACACUGUCGCCCAGGCUAGAGUGCAAUGGGUGCACUCUCGGCUCACUGCAACCUCUGCCUCCUAGGUUCAAUCGAUUCUUCUGCCUCAGCCUCCAGAGGAACUCUGACUACAGACAGAGCCUGCAGCCAAUGCCCCAGGAGCCCUCGGUUCCAACCAACUGAUGCCCCUGUGCCCACUGGCCCACGCCAUGCAGCCCCAGUCC
rnacentral:lncRNA from 10 species